AACGAACGCUGGCGGCAGGCUUAACACAUGCAAGUCGAACGGGUGCGAGCAAUCGCAUCAGUGGCAGACGGGUGAGUAACACGUGGGAACCUUCCUAGGGGUACGGAACAACUCAGGGAAACUUGAGCUAAUACCGUAUACGUCCGUAAGGAGAAAGAUUCAUCGCCCCCUAGACGGGCCCGCGUCGGAUUAGGUAGUUGGUGGGGUAACGGCCUACCAAGCCUACGAUCCGUAGCUGAUCGAGAGGAUGAUCAGCCACACUGGGACUGAGACACGGCCC
rnacentral:rRNA from 1 species